rnacentral:rRNA from 1 species
AACGAACGCUGGCGGCAUGCCUAACACAUGCAAGUCGAACGAGACCUUCGGGUCUAGUGGCGCACGGGUGCGUAACGCGUGGGAACCUGCCCUUAGGUUCGGAAUAACUCCCCGAAAGGGGUGCUAAUACCGGAUAAUGUCUUCGGACCAAAGAUUUAUCGCCUUUGGAUGGGCCCGCGUUGGAUUAGCUAGUUGGUAGGGUAAAAGCCUACCAAGGCGACGAUCCAUAGCUGGUCUGAGAGGAUGAUCAGCCACACUGGGACUGAGACACGGCCCAGACAAGGGGGGGAGGGAGGUGGGGGAGAGAGGGGAGGGUGGGAGAGAGCGUGCGCAGGCGGGGACGCGGGGGUGAUGAAGGACUUGGGGUAGAACGGCUCUGGCACGGGGGAUAAGAAUGCCAGUGGCGGGAGACUAGGCGCCGGCAAACGCCGCGCCAGCAGCAGAGAUAAGAGGGGGAAGAGCACACGUCUGACC